GGGCCUGUAGCUCAGUGGAUU
rnacentral:tRNA from 1 species